rnacentral:rRNA from 1 species
GAUGAACGCUAGCUACAGGCUUAACACAUGCAAGUCGAGGGGAAACGAUGAGAGAGCUUGCUCUCUUAGUCGUCGACCGGCGCACGGGUGAGUAACGCGUAUCCAACCUGCCUCUGACCAAGGGAUAACCCGUCGAAAGUCGGACUAAUACCUUAUGCAGUCGUCGGAAGUCAUCUGAUGACGACGAAAGAUUUCAUCGGUGAGAGAUGGGGAUGCGUCUGAUUAGCUUGUUGGCGGGGUAACGGCCCACCAAGGCGACGAUCAGUAGGGGUUCUGAGAGGAAGGGCCCCCACAUUGGAACUGAGACACGGUCCAAACUCCUACGGGAGGCAGCAGUGAGGAAUAUUGGUCAAUGGGCGUAAGCCUGAACCAGCCAAGUAGCGUGCAGGAUGACGGCCCUAUGGGUUGUAAACUGCUUUUAUGCGGGGAUAAAGUGAGGGACGUGUCCUUCAUUGCAGGUACCGCAUGAAUAAGGACCGGCUAAUUCCGUG